AUGGUACCACUAGCCACAUAUGGCGAUUGGCCACUUACAUGCACCUAGUGAGACUGAAGAAGUAAAAUUUUAAUUUUAUUGAACUUUAAUUUAUAUUUAAAUAGCCACAUAUGACUAACAGCUGCCAUAUUGUACAGCAUGGUUUUAGGCACCCCAUUUUGAUAAAUUCACUUGUCUUGUCCCAUUCAACUUGGUUACAUAAUUCUAGAUGGCCUGCUUAGUGAGAAAUGACAUUGUUGUCCUCCAGGCUCCAGCUUUCAAGAUUCCAUGCUUUACAGUCCUCUUUCCUCACUUUUGUCCUCAAGAGAAAGAUUUGCUUCAUACCAAGUAAUAAAUUGGCCAGCUUUGUCCAAAGGUCUUCCGUAACCCCUCCAAGAUGGAUUAAAAAAUUGAGAGCUUCCCUUGGCUGCUUCUGAACCAGUGGACUGCUGAGCGGGAUUGCGGAAGGAGGUGAGAUUCUACCCAGGGUGACUGUCUGUCCUCCAAUCUACUAUUCUCAGACUCUGCUGACCUCAGAUCUUGAGUCAUUCUUGCCACUUUUUACUAAUAAAUACUAAUAAAACACGCUGACCCUGUGCAUGCUUCCGGCCACCAGGUGACCCAGCCUGCCCCUGUUCCACUUACUGAAUGCUGCUCAGAAACCACAGUGGAUUUGCUGCAGAGGGCCUCGGCUAUGACGCAGAGAAAAUGGUCUUAUUUCCUUACAUGAUUAAUGCCAAGGCAUGGCUUGGUAAAAAGAGGAUUAUGCCAGACCAAUGUUAUUUCCUUUUGUGCUAAAGGGGC
rnacentral:lncRNA from 1 species